GACGAACGCUGGCGGCGUGCUUAACACAUGCAAGUCGAACGAAAAGGCCCUGCUUUUGUGGGGUGUUCGAGUGGCGAACGGGUGAGUAACACGUGAGUAACCUGCCCUUGACUUUGGGAUAACUUCAGGAAACUGGGGCUAAUACCGGAUAGGAGCUCCUGCUGCAUGGUGGGGGUUGGAAAGUUUCGGCGGUUGGGGAUGGACUCGCGGCUUAUCAGCUUGUUGGUGGGGUAGUGGCUUACCAAGGCUUUGACGGGUAGCCGGCCUGAGAGGGUGACCGGCCACAUUGGGACUGAGAUACGGCCCAGACUCCUACGGGAGGCAGCAGUGGGGAAUAUUGCACAAUGGGCGGAAGCCUGAUGCAGCAACGCCGCGUGCGGGAUGACGGCCUUCGGGUUGUAAACCGCUUUCGCCUGUGACGAAGCGUGAGUGACGGUAAUGGGUAAAGAAGCACCGGCUAACUACGUG
rnacentral:rRNA from 1 species